rnacentral:rRNA from 1 species
GAUGAACGCUAGCUACAGGCUUAACACAUGCAAGUCGAGGGACCGGCGCACGGGUGAGUAACACGUAUCCAACCUGCCCUUUACUCGGGGAUAGCCUUUCGAAAGAAAGAUUAAUACCCGAUGUAAAGGAUGGGGAUGCGUUCCAUUAGGUUGUUGGUAGGGUAACGGCUCACCAAACCUUCGAUGGAUAGGGGUUCUGCGAGGAAGGUCCCCGACAUCGUAACUGCGACACGGUCCAAACUCCUACGGGAGGCAGCAGUGAGGAAUAUUGGUCAAUGGGCGUUAGCCUGAACCAGCCAAGUAGCGUGAAGGAUGAAGGUGUAGGGGUCGUAAACUUCUUUUAUAUAAGAAUAUGUAUUAUAUGAAUAAGGAUCGGCUAACUCCGUGCCAGCAGCCGCGGUAAUAC